GGUUGGAUAGUGUAGUGGUUAUCACAGUUGGUUUUGAAAAGGUUCACCCAGGGCCCAGAUUCCAAUUAACUCCGGUUCGACUCCGGAUCCGACCU